AGCGGAAGUCGGGCGGACGGUGCCGUCGCCAACUUGGUCAGAUCCGGAAGGAAGCAGCCACAACGAUUUCGUACCGGGUCGUUCCGGCUUCCACCCUU
rnacentral:SRP_RNA from 1 species